rnacentral:tRNA from 2 species
GGGUGUAUAGCUCAGUUGGCUAGAGCGUUACGUUGACAUCGUAGAGGUCGGUGGUUCGAGCCCACUUACACCCACCA